rnacentral:rRNA from 1 species
GCAACCCUUGUUGUCAGUUACUAACAGGUUCCGCUGAGGACUCUGACAAGACUGCCAUCGUAAGAUGUGAGGAAGGUGGGGAUGACGUCAAAUCAGCACGGCCCUUACGUCCGGGGCUACACACGUGUUACAAUGGGGGGUACAGAGGGCCGCUACCACGCGAGUGGAUGCCAAUCCCCAAAACCUCUCUCAGUUCGGACUGGAGUCUGCAACCCGACUCCACGAAGCUGGAUUCGCUAGUAA